CGUAAAUUCUACCAUCGAAUAUAUAGUUUCAUACAAAAUGCUUCAACACAGGUGCAGUGCGUCUUUGUUUUAAAAUAUAUACGAACGUUGCUACAUAUCAUGUUAGCCCUUUAUCGGAGCUUCUAGAAACUGAAUGAAGUUAUUCAAUAAUGCAUAUUACCCAUUGUGUUGCGUGUGAAAAAGGCGUGCAUUGACGUUUUCUACGAAGAAAAGUUAUGACUGUUCCAUCUCUAUGCACGGAUUUACGUGGGAGCGAAUUAGUUUGUCACCGCCUGUCCGAUGCAAAGAAAAAAUCUCGAUGAUUUGCUAUGAGUAAUAGAUGCCAUAAACAAGUUCAAUACGUACGGUAACAAGAUUGUACAAGCAGAGACCAGACCAGGAUGACGAAAAUUGACUCCUUUGCGGAAACCCAGCAGAAAGCAGGCACAGCAGAAUGUGUUUAACUUGUGGUUUAGCAGAAAGGCGUUGAGGCACAACGGCUACGUGUGGGUCACGUCUGGCCCGGGACGAGCAAAGUAGUAACCAGUACGUGUUUCGACCGGCCCUUCUUAUACCCUCAUCUUUAUUCCGCCUGCACCUUCGAACUAUGCUAGCGGAAGGAGCUAGUAGCAAGCCCUAUUACAGACAACGACCGUCUACUGAGUUGGGCAAUAAGAGAAACGGUGUUCUUUUUGGAAUGUAUUCUCCCACGAUUAGACAGUAUAAAAAGCAUGACUACCAGCAACGCCACAGAUACUUUACAAACAUCAUCAGCGUAAUUGGCCUUAGAUCAAAACUAAUGCUGUCUCUGCUGAAACCUUGUCGCAGGACACACACACUGGAUGUUUGGAUAAGAACGGAAUAAGAUGGGUGUUGUUUGUUUAUAAGCCGCAAUCUAAAUGAAAACAAAUGUUUGGACGGGAUGUUGUAUGUGGAUAGAGACACGCCUAAAUUCGUGAAGAAUAUUUGGAACGUGAACCGUGGCUAAAUGGCCUCUGUAUGUCUAUACUCAGCCAUGCUGCACACAAUAAACCAAAAAGGGCCAAUCCAACGGCACCUAGCGACGAUCGCCACGAGCUUAGAUAGUAACAACGGUCGUCGUGCUUCUACUAUACAGUCGCCCAAUGCACUCCACUUGCUGGCAGUCAGCUUCCACGAGGUCUUUACAUUCAUACUGAACUCCCGUCACUACGUGGCCGCUCCUAUUGCAACCAAACACUAUGAAAAACAAGCAAUACUAGGAAUGUGAAGGAGCAAGGUUAUAGGCCGCCGGACGUGUGCGCGUACCAUGGGGAACAAAGAGCCUGUCGCAUACCAUAGUCGGUUUGUGGCUAUAAUAACUGCUAGAGCUUUUGGAGCCUUCUCGCGAAGUAUAUUCGCUAUGCUGAACGCCGAUGUUAGCUGCUUACUUGAGGUUGACAGCUUGUCUCUGCAGGGCCUCGUCGCUUCGGCACAGGCACUGCGUGACGCUACGAAGCGAUGAAGGAGAAGACGCAUGGACCCCGAACGAUGAUAUACUUCGGCUUUCUAUUCAGACACACAUACACAAAGAUACAGGACCCGAACGCACGACUGGAAUUUUGCCGUCGACGUCGACGACGACGACGACUGCUGGAAAUGAGACAGUCACACUUUCUUAUAAAGCGGCCAGUUUACAUUGGAGUGGCUAUUUGCAAAACUCAUUGGUUCACGCCGCAGGUUUCGGGGCUUUUCUUCCCGAAAAAGUGAUCAGUUGUCAUGGAGAUCCGCGUACAGCUCUUCAAACAAAGCGGACAUCUGGCAAAAUUAUGACAAGGAUCACGCUACCUUACAAAAUUGGCAAUUAGGGCAUCACGACGUAAAUCCGUCUGACAAAGAAGAAUCUAAGGAUCAACAUACCCUUGAGCGGGCAGGAAGCGGAUGUCAUGGUGUCAUCAUGCACGCAGUAAAGGAUUGUCCAGACUCAGCUGUAAUCCUGCCUCGUUUCAAUGGGCUGGGUUAAAGCAGGGAGAAACCCGUCAGCUUAGAGUUACUUCCAGCCAGUAGUGGUUGUAGAACAAAGCUGCUUAAGGGGGGGCAAAUCAAAUGAAUGUUUCUGAUUAAUACAAUAAUAGCACAGAAACGAACGGACGACCGUCGGCUACAGGCUGGUCGUGCCACUAGACUCGUUGAGAAAAGCCAGUGGAAAAGUCAGGGUAAUCACGGAGGAAACAAGCCUUGAACUGCAUUCGCAAGUUACUGUAACUACGGCUAGCAACCAUAUGUAUAUAUAUGACGAAGUCAACUUACGUAUCUUAAAGAAAUGUAAGAUUUGGCAGAUAGGAAAUGUGUUAAAUUAUCCACGUGUGAGACGUACGAAGUACGAAAUCGUAGUUGUAUAUAAUAUGCAUUAGAAAUAUCGAGCACAACGCAUUGUUUACGCGCUGUUAAUUACUAUAUAUAUAUAUAUGAGUAAACUUUUUAAACAAUGUAUUUAAUUGAACCAGAGCUACGAGAAGUCGGAAAGAGCUCAAAAAAGCGGCAUAAGUCAGCGAACGAAGACAAUAAGAUAUGUCUAGGUAGAAGAAAAGCAUUUACUCAGACAUUUGUUAAAUUUAUUCAACCGAAUUGGAGAUUUUAUAGUGGUAUUAACUAUGGCGAGCUAGCUAAACUUUGUGCAAGCGAAAACUGUACCUUAUAUGAACUUGAAUGUUUGCGUUCUAUUUAGUAACCAGCUACCCUUUCAACUUGGUCAUUUUGCCAGGGCAGUGAAAAACCUUUAGGUUGUUUCCAUGUUUGCCUCGCACGACAGCAGCGACAAAGAGGACCAAUGAGCAAUCUGUUCUACUCUAAGGGGAUUUGAUGUCUGUGGUGGCAUGAGCUCUAAACGAGUCGGGCCAUGCUUGUUUAAAGUGGGCUAGUAGCUUUCACAGAAGGCCUGCGCAAAGGUCUAAACUAGACAUUGAACGUUGUCUCUUUAUUCAUCUACCUCUGGCUAACUGAAUUUGAGUGUAUGAGUAACUUCCGGUGGGCGCAUGAUCGUCUGUGAUCAGCUGCGUUCUUUCCAAGGAGAAUUAGAACCAACCCUGAUGAGACACAGGCUGGGCAGCCGACCAAACAUGCUCCUGCUUCUAAUAUAGUAUCACAACCAGCAUCACUACUACCGCCGAUGGACAAGCAAAGACCAGGAUGCAAGCAGGACAUUGCAGGACGAAGGAGCGGAAACAGGAAAGGUUUACACUGCCACUUGCCUUGAAAUUAGUUAAGUAAGUGAAUAUGCUGUGUUAGUUAAGGCUUUGUCUUAUCGUCGAGUCUUUAUCGUGCCCGAUAUCACUUUUUGAUGGGGAUUCAGUAAGACAAACGUUAACAUAUUGGGGGCUAGCAAACAUAACACGAAAUCGCCAACUGUAUUACAACUGAUGAUCAGCGAACGCGAUCGAUAUUCAAGUCGAAGAAGUUCUAGAACGUGAUUGUUUAUUGACAAAAACAGCGUUGUGAAAAUCUUCUCGUUGACCCCUUCAAAAACGCACUGAUAAACUUCGAACCUUGUGAAAACUGUAGUCGUUUAAUAAACAAUCCAUAACUUAAUAAACAAAAAUAAGCUAGUUUCAUAAACAACAGAACCUACUUCU